CUGAGUUGCAAAACUCCCAAACCCAUGUGAACAUACCUGUUGCCUCGGCGGCCUACCCGGCAGCUACCCCGUAGCCACCCUGUAGCCCGCCGACGGACCACUAAAACUCUGUUUUUUAUGUCUCUCUGAGUAAAAAUCAUAAUAAGUUA
rnacentral:misc_RNA from 1 species